CCUUAAUUCAUUUCAACAAAUACCACUUGGUGAAACAUGUAUCAACUUACAUUAAAGUCCUAUAAAUUGCUUUGAAGUUUAUGAUGACAUAGGAUUUGAAUUAUGUAAUAUUAUACCUGUAUUAGUUUUCAAUUGAGCCAUUUAGUUAUAAAAAAAAAUAUAGCAAAAUUAAGAUUUACAUAAUAUAGGGUUUGGAUUAUGUAAAAUAAAGUGAUACAAUUUAUAUUAUUCCUUUAAGAAAUUGGGCUUAAUUAAAAAUUAAAAUUGAAUGUGCAUCUAGGGUUUUCAAUUUAUUGUAGGAUAUUAAAAUCAAACUUCAAGCACGAUCAAUUUUCCCUGCCACAAUUGCCAUGUUAAUAAUACGGUCAUUGUACUAGGAUCAAUCAUCAUGUCUGUUCCUUGUAGCAUGACCCAGCAUGGCGAGGCAGAGCCAGAAGAGUUUCUUUGUGUCACAAACAGCUUUAAUGCUGUUCGGUUUUUCUUUUGUGACCAUUUCUGUCACAGACUUUAUACGAACUUAACAAAAUUGAACCUUAUGAGCAGAUGAAAAAUGCUUAGCUGCUGCUACCAUUGCCUCCUCUGGCCUGAAGGGUGCCGAGUUACUCGGAGACCUAGGCUUAUCAUCAGUUCUUGAAGAGCCACGGAGGAAGGAAAACACCCACCUUGAAAAGGCGGCACGCCAACUGAUCCCAUCUCUCUUCUUGCCUCCCAUCUUUGCUCAAGACUGCUGUACCUUGAUCAAUCUCGAAUUGAACAACAGGCGGCUAGAUAGCUACUGAACAGUAAAUAAUUAAUAUGUUUUCUUGGCAGGCUGUGUUUUUCUGGGUUGUAGAUGAACAACAGCAUUGCUCCUUUAUAUAUAUCUGAAAAUUCUUGAUGGACACGCCUAUAUUGGAAGGGAGUUUCAGGUGAAACGUGUUCUCUUGUUGACCAAGGCACAAACAGAUGGGGUGUAUGUACUCUGUGUCUUCCC
rnacentral:lncRNA from 1 species